GCCCUAGUAACGGCGAGUGAAGCGGCAACAGCUCAAAUUUGAAAUCUGGCCUUCGGGUCCGAAUUGUAAUUUGUAGAGGAUGCUUUGGGUGCGGUACCUUCCGAGUUCCCUGGAACGGGACGCCGGAGAGGGUGAGAGCCCCGUACGGUUGGAUACCAAGCCUAUGUAUAGCUCCUUCGACGAGUCGAGUAGUUUGGGAAUGCUGCUCUAAAUGGGAGGUAAAUUUCUUCUAAAGCUAAAUACCGGCCAGAGACCGAUAGCGCACAAGUAGAGUGAUCGAAAGAUGAAAAGCACUUUGAAAAGAGGGUUAAAUAGCACGUGAAAUUGUUGAAAGGGAAGCGUUUGCGACCAGACCUUUUCCAGGCGGAUCAUCCGGUGUUCUCACCGGUGCACUUCGCCUGGUUUAGGCCAGCAUCGGUUUUCUUAGGGGGACAAAGGUUUAGGGCACGUAGCUCCUUCGGGAGUGUUAUAGCCCUUUACGUAAUACCCUUCGGGGGACCGAGGACCGCGCAUUGCAAGGAUGCUGGCGUAAUGGUCGUCAACGACCCGUCUUGAAACACGGACCAAGGAGUCGAACAUUUGUGCGAGUGUUUGGGUGUUAAACCCUCACGCGUAAUGAAAGUGAACGGAGGUGAGAGCCCUUCGGGGUGCAUCAUCGACCGAUCCUGAUGUCUUCGGAUGGAUUUGAGUAAGAGCAUAACUGUUCGGACCCGAAAGAUGGUGAACUAUGCGUGGAUAGGGUGAAGCCAGAGGAAACUCUGGUGGAGGCUCGCAGCGGUUCUGACGUGCAAAUCGAUCGUCAAAUCUGCGCAUGGGGGCGAAAGACUUAUCGA
rnacentral:rRNA from 1 species